rnacentral:rRNA from 11 species
AUUUGGAAAGCUCUGCCCUAAAGACACACAAAUCCUGUCUGAUCUUGAAAGUUAAGCAGGGCCAGCCCUGGUUAGAACUUGAUAGGAGACCACCAACCAAUCCCAAGUGCUGUAAAUU